UACAGAGGGUGCGAGCGUUGUUCGGAAUUAUUGGGCGUAAAGAGCGUGUAGGCGGCGUCGCAAGUCGGGUGUGAAAGCCCACGGCUCAACCGUGGAAGUGCGCCCGAAACUGCGGUGCUGGAGUGCCGGAGAGGAUGGCGGAAUUCCGGGUGUAGAGGUGAAAUUCGUAGAUAUCCGGAGGAACACCGGUGGCGAAGGCGGCCAUCUGGACGGACACUGACGCUGAGACGCGAGAGCGUGGGUAGCAAAC
rnacentral:rRNA from 1 species